rnacentral:lncRNA from 1 species
ACUUCUGUACUUUCUUUUCAUAUUAAUGCGAGAAUCAUUUUCCCAAAUGUCAUGAUUUAAUUCAUAUAUUCUAAUAAAUUUCAUUACUUGCCAGAAUAGAAUAAUCACAUAUCUUUAUAAUUUGGCAAAAUCGAAAACUGGUAACUUUAAAUUCACUUAUCACUAAUUAAAUGAAAAUCAAGGUUCAGACAUACCUUUGUUUGUACAACCUUGAAUGGAUUAAGUUUGAGAUUUGAUUCGAAGAUCGAUAUUUUUAAGAGAAUCCAAAGUCUCACCCCAG